ACUCCAGCCUGGGCGACAGAGUGAGACUGCAUCUCAAAAGAAAAUAAAAAGGAAAAAAAAGAAAAAAAAGCCCUUUUUCCGGCUGGAACCAUGGAGGGUGUAGAAGAGAAGAAGAAGGAGGUUCCUGCUGUACCAGAAACCGUUAAGAAAAAGCGAAGGAAUUUCGCAGAGCUGAAGAUCAAGCGCCUGAGAAAGAAGUUUGCCCAAAAGAUGCUUCGAAAGGCAAGGAGGAAGCUUAUCCAUGAAAAAGCGAAGCACUAUCACAAGGAAUAUAGGCAGAUGUACAGAACUGAAAUUCGAAUGACAAGGAUGGCAAGAAAAGCUGGCAACUUCUAGGUACCUGCUGAACCCAAAUUGGCGUUUGUCAUCAGGAUUAGAGGUAUCAAUGGCGUGAGCCCAAAGGUCUGAAAGGUGUUGCAGCUUCUUCGCUUUCGUCAAAUCUUCAUUGGAACCUUUGUGAAACUCAACAAGGCUUCGAUUAACAUGCUGAGGAUUGUAGAGCCAUAUAUUGCAUGGGGGUACCCCAAUCUGAAGUCAGUAAAUGAGCUAAUCUAUAAGCGUCAUUAUGGCAAAAUCAAUAAGAAGCGAAUUGGUUUGACAGAUAACGCUUUGAUUGCUUGAUCUCUUGGCAUCAUCUGCAGGGAGGAUCUGAUUCAUGAGAUCUAUACUGUUGCAAAAACGCUUCAAGGAGGCAAAUAACUUCCUGUGGCCCUUCAAAUUAUCUUCUCCACGAGGUGGAAUGAAGAAAAAGACCACCCAUUUUGUAGAAGGUGGAGAUGCUGGCAACAGGGAGGACCAGAUCAACAGGCUUAUUAGAAGAAUGAACUAAGGUGUCUACCUUGAUUAUUUUUCUAAGCUGGUCAGUUAAUAAAUAGUACGUGCUCUCAAAUUGGGGG